UAGUAACGGCGAGUGAAGCGGCAACAGCUCAAAUUUGAAAUCUGGCCUUCUGGUCCGAAUUGUAAUUUGUAGAGGAUGCUUUUGGUGCGGUACCUUCCGAGUUCCCUGGAACGGGACGCCUUAGAGGGUGAGAGCCCCGUACGGUUGGAUACCAAACCUCUGUAUAGCUCCUUCGACGAGUCGAGUAGUUUGGGAAUGCUGCUCUAAAUGGGAGGUAAAUUUCUUCUAAAGCUAAAUACCGGCCAGAGACCGAUAGCGCACAAGUAGAGUGAUCGAAAGAUGAAAAGCACUUUGAAAAGAGGGUUAAAUAGCACGUGAAAUUGUUGAAAGGGAAGCGUUUAUGACCAGACUUUUUCCAGGCGGAUCAUCCGGUGUUCUCACCGGUGCACUUCGCCUGGUGGAGGCCAGCAUCGGUUUCCGUAGAGGGAUAAAAGCUUAAGGAAUGUGGCUCCCUCGGGAGUGUUAUAGCCUUCUGUAUAAUACCUUUAUGGGGACCGAGGUACGCGCAUUGCAAGGAUGCUGGCGUAAUGGUCAUCAACGACCCGUCUUGAAACACGGACCAAGGAGUCGAACAUUUAUGCGAGUGUUUGGGUGUUAAACCCUCACGCGUAAUGAAAGUGAACGGAGGUGAGAGCCGCAAGGUGCAUCAUCGACCGAUCCUGAUGUCUUCGGAUGGAUUUGAGUAAGAGCAUAACUGUUCGGACCCGAAAGAUGGUGAACUAUGCGUGGAUAGGGUGAAGCCAGAGGAAACUCUGGUGGAGGCUCGCAGCGGUUCUGACGUGCAAAUCGAUCGUCAAAUCUGCGCAUGGGGGCGAAAGACUAAUCG
rnacentral:rRNA from 1 species